UGUCGUGCUGAAUAAAGCUCUGGUUUCUUUCAGUGAUGUGUUUCUACGAGCGCUCACUCGGGCUAUAUCACAAACAAGGAUCAUUUUCUUUUUCUAACAUGCUUUCUGUCAUCUGCUCUAUUCUUGUGAUACUCUUAACAUCCAGGUGGAGCCAUGGAGACUCAGUGACCCAGACAGAAGGUCCAGUCAUUCUCUCAGAGAGGGCCCCUCUGACCCUGAACUGCACGUACGAGACUACUUAUUCAGCUUCCUUCCUUUGCUGGUAUGUCCAGUAUUCCCACGCAGCUCCGCGGCUCCUCCUGAGGAGUGCGACAGAAAACCAGCGGGCCGAGAACCAAGGCUUUCAGGCUACUCUCGUCAAGAGCCAGCGCUCCUUCCACCUGCAGAAAGCCUCACUCCAGUUGUCAGACUCUGCCCUGUACUACUGUGCCCUGGAGACACAGUGA